rnacentral:rRNA from 1 species
GCCGCGGUAAUUCCAGCUCCAAUAGCGUAUACUAAAGUUGUUGCGGUUAAAAAGCUCGUAGUUGGAUCUUGGAAUGUGUUCAAGCGGGUCAGCUUCUGGCUGUGCGCUGCUUGACGUGUUCUUCUAUUUGGUUUUGGUGCGGUGCGCUUAACUGCGUGUCGCUCCCGGCCGAAACGUUUACCUUGAAAAAAUUAGAGUGUUCAAAGCAGACCUGUUUGAGUCUGAAUAUUCGUGCAUGGAAUAAUGAAAUAUGAAUUCGGUUCUAUUUUGUUGGUUUUCGGAACUCGAGUUAAUGAUCAAGAGGGACAGACGGGGGCAUUCGUACUCUGCCGUUAGAGGUGAAAUUCUUGGAUCGGCGGAAGACGCGCAACUGCGAAAGCAUUUGCCAAGAAUGUUUUCUUUAAUCAAGAACGAUAGUCGGAGGUUCGAAGACGAUCAGAUACCGUCCUAGUUUCGACUGUAAACUAUGCCAGCUAACGAUCAGACAGAGUUCUCUACGACUUGUCUGGCAGUUUCCGGGAAACCAAAGCGUUUGGGUUCCGGGGGAAGUAUGGUUGCAAAGCUGAAACUUAAAGGAAUUGACGGAAGGGCACCACCAGGAGUGGAGCCUGCGGCUUAAUUUGACUCAACACGGGGAAACUCACCCGGCCCGGACACAGUGAGGAUUGACAGAUUGAGAGUUCUUUCUUGAUUCUGUGGGUGGUGGUGCAUGGCCGUUCUUAGUUGGUGGAGCGAUUUGUCUGGUUAAUUCCGAUAACGAACGAGACUCUGGCAUGUUAAAUAGUCGCGGAAGUGCGUAUGCACUUGCCGAAUUGACUUCUUAGAGGGACUAGUGAUUUUAAUUCACACGAGAUUGAGCAAUAACAGGUCUGUGAUGCCCAAGGGCGAA